CCAAGUUACCAAACAAAAUCAGUGAGCAGAAACUCUCCUCCCUCUCUCCCCCCAUCGUCGCACAUCUCGUCCUCGUUUGAAGGCAGGCAGGCAGCCAGACCAGGUAGAAGAAAGAUCAGAUGGCACUAGGAAAUCUCACAAGAAUGUUAUCCCAGAGGUUGUUUUCCAGGGGCACUAGAGGCGUUGCUACCAAUACUGGAGGACGAACUAAGACCAGCGAACUUAUAACAAUAUUAUUUCAUUAUUGGAUUUGGAUUUUGAUUUAUUCAUCUUUUAACAACUAGUCAAAACAGACCUUCUUACUUGUUUGUGUUCAAUGAUCUAUCAGAUUACGGAUGAAAAAUUGCGAGGUGUUUGUGAACGCCUUGAGCAGGCUACUGCGGAAGCAAAGCAACUCUAUGAUGAAUGCCAAGCUGUCUUUGCCCUAAAAAGGGCAUUCCCAGGGAUCGAGUCAUAUGGGGAUCGGUCUUUCUCAGUGUUGGUGUCAACGCAGUUCAGCAGUUUCACGAAAUCGUGAAAACGAGAAAUGCCAUCAAAGAUAAAAAGAACCAGUUGUCAGCUCUUCGUAAUGCCAUCAAAGAUAAAGAAUCCCCUCGUCAAGAGUUACGAGUGCCAGCUUUAUCAGCAUAAGAUAUGAGCGCUAAGUUAUCUCUUCCUACUUUUGCACCUGCAGAAUAUUUAAUUUCUCAGGGCACGAGCUUACUUUAAGUUAUGUCAGUUUACUAUUAUUAGCUAGGUGUAGUAUUCACCGGAACCUCUGACGAUAUAAGGUGCCUGUAAUGUGGGGGUUAUACAUUCCUAACUUUAACUUCUGUAUCUAUGUACGCAUGGUGUGCUCCUUUUAAACUAUUAAUGCUCCCAUUCUCUAUAUCUAUAUCAAUUAGAAUCCUUAAUUAUUCCAAA